GCCAAUGUGGCACAGUGGUUUGAGUGUUAGACUGAGACUCUGGAGAUCAGAGUUCAAUUCCCAACUUGGCCA